rnacentral:rRNA from 1 species
AGCGUGGAGACAGGUGGUGCAUGGCUGUCGUCAGCUCGUGUCGUGAGAUGUUGGGUUAAGUCCCGCAACGAGCGCAACCCUCACCCCUUGUUGCUACCAGGUAAAGCUGGGCACUCUAGGGGAACCGCCCCGGUCAACGGGGAGGAAGGCGGGGAUGACGUCAAGUCAUCAUGCCCCUUACGUCCUGGGCUACACACGUGCUACGAUGGCCGGUACAAAGGGAUGCCACACCGCGAGGUAGAGCUAAACCCAAAAAGCCGGUCUAAGUUCAGAUUGGAGUCUGCAACUCGACUCCAUGAAGGAGGAAUCGCUAGUAAUCGCGUAUCAGCACGACGCGGUGAAUACGUUCCCGGGCCUUGUACACACCGCCCGUCACACCACGAAAGCCAGCUGUACUCGAAGUCGCUGAG